GUCCGGCUGGCGCAAUGGUAGCGCGCAAGACUUCUACCGCUGGAUGUUUCAGAACAUUGAAUCUUGAGGCUGUGGGUUCGAGUCCCACGUCGGAUG